GGGGAAUAUUGCACAAUGGAGGAAACUCUGAUGCAGCGAUGCCGCGUGAGGGAAGAAGGUUUUAGGAUUGUAAACCUCUGUCUUCAGGGACGAAAAAAGACGGUACCUGAGGAGGAAGCUCCGGCUAACUACGUGCCAGCAGCCGCGGUAAUACGUAGGGAGCGAGCGUUGUCCGGAAUUACUGGGUGUAAAGGGAGCGUAGGCGGGAUCGCAAGUCAGAUGUGAAAACUAUGGGCUUAACCCAUAAACUGCAUUUGAAACUGUGGUUCUUGAGUGAAGUAGAGGUAAGCGGAAUUCCUAGUGUAGCGGUGAAAUGCGUAGAUAUUAGGAGGAACAUCAGUGGCGAAGGCGGCUUACUGGGCUUUAACUGACGCUGAGGCUCGAAAGCGUGGGGAGCAAACAGGAUUAGAUACCCUGGUAGUCCACGCCGUAAACGAUGAUUACUAGGUGUGGGGGGACUGACCCCUUCCGUGCCGCAGCAAACGCAAUAAGUAAUCCACCUGGGGAGUACGACCGCAAGGUUGAAACUCAAAGGAAUUGACGGGGGCCCGCACAAGCAGUGGAGUAUGUGGAUUAAUUCGAAGCAACGCGAAGAACCUUACCAGGUCUUGACAUCGUAUGCAUACCUCAGAGAUGAGUGAAAUCUCUUCGGAGACAUAUAGACAGGUGGUGCAUGGUUGUCGUCAGCUCGUGUCGUGAGAUGUUGGGUUAAGUCCCGCAACGAGCGCAACCCUUACUGUUAGUUGCUACGCAAGAGCACUCUAGCAGGACUGCCGUUGACAAAACGGAGGAAGGUGGGGAUGACGUCAAAUCAUCAUGCCCCUUAUGACCUGGGCCUCACACGUACUACAAUGGCUGUCAACAGAGGGAUGCAAAGCCGCGAGGUGGAGCGAACCCCUAAAAGCAGUCUUAGUUCGGAUUGUAGGCUGCAACCCGCCUACAUGAAGUCGGAAUUGCUAGUAAUCGCAGAUCAGCAUGCUGCGGUGAAUAUGUUCCCG
rnacentral:rRNA from 1 species